UGAUCACAUCUCUGCACCUGCCUCCUUAGUAAACCAGACUACAUAGGUAUUGGACUGUUUGAUGUAAACAACAUCAAAUGGAUUGAAUUUGAUUGCAGAUGGAUUUUAUUUAUAAAAUUGCUGCACUGAUCGCUGGAGUGGGAUUGGCCCUUUGGAUUUGUGGCAGUUAAGGGUUUUGUUGUGGCACCAGUAGUUCUUUAAACAAGGCAUAUAUGGUUCAAUUGAAACUACACCAUCCCCAAGUCUCAUGAAUUGCACCGGAACGUUCAGUGGGAGAAGAGGAGAGCGACAAAGCCUGAAACACCCAGUGGAACGUCCAAGAUGCAGCAUGCAGGCUGGCAUGAUCGCAGCCGUUGGACCGAUCCUUGGCGUCAGGAGGCACACUAGGGAUCACUGAAACCGCGCACAUACGAACCACUGCGACCGUGCCUGGCUUGGCUUAACAGGAUUGGCUGGUGUUCGGUGCCAUGGAGACCAUUAAUCCCUCUUAUCCACUCACUACACCUUAAAGUGUGGAGGAAGGAUGCACAGUGUAGAAGUGUGCUGUUGCUCUCCUUGUCUGGAUAUCCUUCUUUGAACCUGCAGCAGAGGAAAAGCUAUAACGUCCCAAACCACUUAUGUAUGUUCUUAUACUCCCUUUAAUCAUAUUCCACUUCUCCAGUCUUUUGUUCCAACGAUUGCUUUGAUUAAACAGGAGCAUGUUGUUACGGCUUA